rnacentral:lncRNA from 1 species
UGUUGUGUAGUUGUUGUGUUGUGUAGUUGUUGUGUUGUGUCAUUGUGUAGUUGUGUCAUUGUGUAGUUGCUGUGCAGUUUUGUUGUGUCGUUGUGGUGUAGUUGUGGUGUAGUUGUGUUGUGGAGUUGUGCAGUUGUUGUGUUGUUGUGUCGUUGUGUCAUUGUGUAGUUGUGUUGUGUCAUUCUGUAGUUGCUGUGUAGUUGUUGUGUAGUUGUGUUGUGUCGUUGUGGUGUAGUUGUGGUGUAGUUUUGUUGUGUAGUUGUGUUGUGUCGUUGUGGUGUAGUUGUGGUGUAGUUGUGUUGUGGAGUUGUGCAGUUGUUGUGUUGUUGUGUAGUUGUGUAGUUGUGUUGUGUUGUUGUGUAGUUGUUGUGUUGUGUAGUUGUUGUGUUGUGUCACUGUGUAGUUGUGGUGUUGUGUCAUUGUGCUGUUGCUGUGUUGUUGUGUAGUUGUGUUGUAGUGUUGUUGUGUAGUUGUGUUGUUGUUGUGUUGUACAGUUGUUGUGUUGUGUAGUUGUUGUGUAGUUGUGUUGUAGUGUUGUAGUGUAGUUGUGUUGUUAUUGUGUUGUGUAGUUGUGUAGUUGUUGUGUAGUUGUGUUGUGCAGUUGUAGUGUUGUUGUGCAGUUGUGUUGUUGUGCAGUUGUUGUGUUGUUGUGUUGUUUUGUUGUGUCAUUCUGCAGUUGUGUAGUUGUGUUGUGUCAUUCUGUAGUUGUUGUGUUGUUGUGUUGUUGUGCAGUUGUUGUGUUGUUGU